GAGGCCUUAGCUUAAUUAAAGUGUCUGUGUUGCAGUCAGAGGAUGUAUUGUUUAAUUUACAGGUCUUC
rnacentral:tRNA from 2 species